AUGGCCCUGGAUUACACUGGAGCAGCAGGGAAGCUCUGGGCUGGGCUAGAGAUGUGUGCAAGCCCUUCGUGCCCCAGAGGAGGCUUCAAGGUUUGCUUUUGUGCAUUGGGGAUCUGCGUUUCUGACACCACAGGACUUGCACUGAGGUGGAGCUGCACCAGCCCUGAGCAUCACGGUGGUUUGGUUUCCUCCUAUGCUUUUAUUGUGUUCCUGAUGCUUGUGGUUUGUAGCGAGAAAUCUUUCCCCAGAAAAUCCUGCCAGAAGUCGCUGUGUUCCCAAUCACCGCUUCCUCCUCCUGGGGCUGGCUGUGCUUGGAUGCAGAGUCCCUGUGCCCAGCCCCACUCUUGGGUAUUUGUGGCAGUUUUGGAGGGAUUAGUGUUAACAUUCACCCCAAAACGUCAGCGUCCAUCUCCUUUCAGCAGCUGCAGCAUCCCCCGGGCGGGCGGCAGCCACAGAAUUUGGUCCCUCUUCCCCUUCCCGGGGGAGACGUGGGAGAGAUCAACACACCAAAGCAAUUAAAAAAUAAUAAUCACAGACCAGUAGAAAAGGAAAAAGCAUAAAAAGUGGGACUAAUUUUAUGACAAGAAAUGAGGCUGUAAAACCAGGAGCAAUUAGAGCACAAAGGCAAUUAAACCAUUUCAAAAGGCUCAGUGAAAUUUAUUUACUUCUUCCUGGUUUUUUUUUCUGGGAGGCUUUUGGGGACUGGAGACCUUUUAUUUUUCCCCAGUGCUGACGGGAUCUGGCACCAGGAGUUUCCUUUUUGCCUCCAGAUCUUAACCCUGUGUUUCUGGAGUUACGUUUUGGGGUUUUUUUUGAGGAAUAGGAAGAAAGACAGGUGUUUCUCCUGGCAGUGGAGCAGCAGGAGCCGCCCCUCAGGGCACAGAGCUGCUUCUGAAGGUUUGGGUCACCUGCUCCUCCCAAUAUCUGUCCAGACAGAGAUCUGAGGUAGUUCUCCUCCUCACAAGGAUGGAUUGGCCAGGAGAGAAAUGCACCAUGAUGGGGGCAGGUCCUGGCCCAGGUGCCCAGAGCAGCUGUGGCUGCCCCUGGAUCCCUGGCAGUGCCCCAGGCCAGGCUGGAUGGGGUUUGGAGCAGCCUGGGACAGUGGCAGUGUCCCUGCCAUGGCUGGGGUGGCACUGGGUGGGCUUUAAGGUCCCUCCAACCCAAACCAUUCCAUGAUUUUACAAGUGAUGGUGGGGGAAAAAGCUUCUUCCCUAAAUCAGGGGUUCUAUCAGGGGUUUUGGCACUGGGUGUGCUUGGAAGCCAAGGUGCUGGGCUAGAGAUGAGGAUGUGGAUUAAACCCUGACAGUGCCCCCAGGUUCCAGAGGUAAAGUCUUCUGAUGUAUGAGGGAAAAGAGACUUCCCUCAUGGACAGCACUGCAUCAAACACCCCUGGAAACGUGUCCUUGAGCCUCCCACCACCUAUUUCAGGCAUCUCAUUACCUGAGUUACAGCACCUAAAGUGCAUCUCUGGAUCUCACCCUAAAUCCUGGGAAACUCAAUAAGUGCUCACAUGUUAUGA
rnacentral:lncRNA from 1 species